UACGUAGGGUGCGAGCGUUGUCCGGAAUUAUUGGGCGUAAAGGGCUCGUAGGCGGUUUGUCGCGUCGGGAGUGAAAACACCGGGCUUAACUCGGUGCUUGCUUCCGAUACGGGCAGACUAGAGGCAUGCAGGGGAGAACGGAAUUCCUGGUGUAGCGGUGAAAUGCGCAGAUAUCAGGAGGAACACCGGUGGCGAAGGCGGGUCUCUGGGCCGUAACUGACGCUGAGGAGCGAAAGCAUGGGGAGCGAACAGG
rnacentral:rRNA from 1 species